GUGUUACGGUGAUUGGGUAGUACUUCCGAGUACUACCGGGUACUACCGGUCUAAUUUAUUGUGAUCGUCCGAUCUGGCCAGUUAAUAAAAAAAUUAAAUUACCAUAAUCAGGGCUAUUGUGGUAAUUUCCUUGGCCUAACCCACCUGCACGACUGAUGGCUCGCGAGCACGACCUGAGUCCACGAUCUCAGUCUAGUGCCGCCGCAAUCCACUGCUCCCUACCACGCCGCUCUCAGGACGCACCACCGACGCCACUGCUCGUCGGACGCGCCGCCGCCGCCGCUCGCCGGAUGCGCAGCUAGCCGAAUCAGACCUCCGCCCCCGCCUCCGCACACCAUUCCUACACCGCGCCCGCCUCAUCAAGGAACUCGGCCGCCUCGCCUAGCAGGUCACCAGCCUUGCCUGCUCGCCCGCGUCCUCCGAGAGUCGCCUCGCCCAGGAUCCAACACUUCUUGACAGGUGCGCGACACUGGCACCGCUCAGGCUCUCCCAGUUCGACCCCCCGCGCCGGCGUCGUCCUGCACUCCACCGCCAUCUCUGCGCCGGUCAUAUCUACGUGGCAGUGCAGAGCACCUCAAAACACAACUAAGGAAAAGAUGAACUUGAUGGAUGAUUUUGAGACUUCUCUACAAGUUUUGAGGGGCUUUGAGAUCGACAUCUCAAUGUAAUUGGCUGAUAUAAAGGCAAUAACUUGCACUUGUUUUCCCCCUAUUUACUUGGAAACCCUUCUGGAGUAUUUUUAAUUUGGUAUAAUUUCAGGUGUUUUUUAUUGUUUAGGCAUAGUAAGUAAGUUCUAGGUGUAUUCAUCUUUGGUAGAAUCACUAUUCUGUAGUAGUUCCUAAAUACUGGCAACUGUCAUUCAGUACAACAGGGUUCACAAACAGUGACUUGGAGAUAUUCAGGUUGGUAAUGCUGAGAGGAAGCUCUGGGUUCUACUUCUACACCAUCUUCGAACACGGCGGGGGCUGGCUGGGCAUCAACAUCAUCGAGGCGCAGCUCGGCUUCAAGCUCAACAAUGGCAAUGUUCCAGCCCAGUCGAAUUGGAAUUUUUGACGUCCUAUAAUAUUGAAAGUCUGGAACAAGGAAAACUGAAGCUAUACUUUUUCUUUCUGCACCCUCAUUGUUAGAUUGCCUCUGAUUACGAGGGACGGCACUGGUAUUCAGAAAUGAGAUGGAUUUUCUAGUGAUUUGGAGGGAGUUCGAUUUUCAGGACAAACUUUAUAUAGUGUUUGUGAUCAUGAAAGCUUUUUUUUUUCGAGAAAACGCAAAGGACUCUUUGCGUUUCAUUUCAUUGAAAAGGUAGAGUUGUUCACAAGCCUCCUAGGAGGUAUUACACGGGUUUA